GUGCAGUGCUGUAAUAGACAUAAACUUUUGUAACGGUGUUAUAUGGAUGGAUCUCACCAGUGUGUAGUCUGUGUAUUUGCAGGUUUUGUGUGUCAUUUCACAGGCGUCAGUCCAGCAGGAGGCGCUGUGAUCCACGUACUGCCCUUUGAGGAGGUCCAUGUCAACAUUACAGUGGACUCAAGAGUACAGAGUGUGUCUAAAAUUGCUGUGACUGGUCCACCGGGCCUCUUUAUAUCACAAAUGGAAAUGGGCCAGAAUUUCCAGAGCUCCGUUACGCUGUCCUGGGUCAGAGGUCCGAAUCAGUUCAUCCAUCUGCUGUCUGUUUGUUUCACUGCAAAUACUCCGAGCCUGCAGUCUAACGUCAGGAGCAUAUGGCUUCAACGAACGCGAACAGACCCUUUGCCACCCGGAACAGGUAAUAUAUCCAUUACCUAAGUAUUAUACUUCUGCAAUUGUUUUCAGCCUGUACUGCAUAG
rnacentral:lncRNA from 1 species